rnacentral:misc_RNA from 1 species
CACCCUUGGGUUUCGAGCCGCAGCCACAUUUGGCGCCUUGAUUUUCUGGUGAACAGUUUUCCCAAAAGCCUUAUUUCUUUUUAUUGACCUUCGGAUCCGGGUAGGGAUACCCCGCUGAAACUUAAGCAUAUCAAUAAGCGGAGGAAAAGAAACCAACAGGGAUUGCCCUAGUAACGGCGAGUGAAGCGGCAACAGCUCAAAUUUGAAAUCUGGCUCCUUUGGGGGUCCGAGUUGUAAUUUGUAGAGGGUGCUUUGGUAUUAGCUGUGGUCUAAGACCCUUGGAACAGGGCGUCACAGAGGGUGAGAAUCCCGUAUGUGGCCAGCAGCUCUUGCCUUGUAAAGCCCCUUCGACGAGUCGAGUUGUUUGGGAAUGCAGCUCUAAAUGGGAGGUAAAUUUCUUCUAAAGCUAAAUACUGGCCAGAGACCGAUAGCGCACAAGUAGAGUGAUCGAAAGAUGAAAAGCACUUUGGAAAGAGAGUCAAAAAGCACGUGAAAUUGUUGAAAGGGAAGCGCUUGCAGCCAGACUUGCCCGUAGUUGUUCAUCUAGGCUUUUGCCUGGUGCACUCUUCUGCGGGCAGGCCAGCAUCAGUCCAGGCGGUCGGAUAAAGGCCUUGGGAAUGUGGCUCCUUUCGGGGAGUGUUAUAGCCCAGGGUGCCAUGCGGCCAGCCUGAACUGAGGUCCGCGCUUCUGCUAGGAUGCUGGCGUAAUGGCUGUAAGCGGCCCGUCUUGAAACACGGACCAAGGAGUCUAACAUCUAUGCGAGUGUUUGGGUGUCAAGCCCGAGCGCGCAAUGAAAGUGAACGGAGGUGGGAACCCCUUGGGGUGCACCAUCGACCGAUCCUGAUGUCUUCGGAUGGAUUUGAGUAAGAGCAUAGCUGUUGGGACCCGAAAGAUGGUGAACUAUGCCUGAAUAGGGUGAAGCCAGAGGAAACUCUGGUGGAGGCUCGCAGCGGUUCUGACGUGCAAAUCGAUCGUCAAAUUUGGGCAUAG